rnacentral:snRNA from 1 species
GUCGGCCCCGCAAGGGGCUUGACAUAUGAUCUAACAAAUAAACGAUACAGAGAAGAUUAGCGUUGCCCCUGCGUAUGGUUGGCAUCUUUGCUCAGAAGAGUCGUUCCUUUCGAGGAACAUCUAUGUUUUUU